rnacentral:rRNA from 1 species
CGUUCCCGGGUCUUGUACACACCGCCCGUCACACCAUGGGAGCGGGAUGUACCAGAAGUAGGUAGGCUAACCGCAAGGGGGCCGCUUACCACGGUGCGUUUCGUAACUGGGGUG